GACAGAGGGGGCAAGCGUUGCUCGGAAUUACUGGGCGUAAAGGGCUCGUAGGCGGUUCGUCACGUCGGGAGUGAAAACUCGGGGCUUAACCCCGAGCCUGCUUCCGAUACGGGCAGACUAGAGGUAGGCAGGGGAGAGCGGAACUCCUGGUGUAGCGGUGGAAUGCGCAGAUAUCAGGAAGAACACCGGUGGCGAAGGCGGCUCUCUGGGCCUUACCUGACGCUGAGGAGCGAAAGCGUGGGGAGCAAACAGG
rnacentral:rRNA from 1 species